AUGAACGCUGGCGGCGUGCCUAAUCCAUGCAAGUCGAGCGAACAGAUAAGGAGCUUGCUCCUUUGACGUUAGCGGCGGACGGGUGAGUAACACGUGGGUAACCUACCUAUAAGACUGGGAUAACUUCGGGAAACCGGAGCUAAUACCGGAUAACAUUUGGAACCGCAUGGUUCUAAAGUGAAAGAUGGUUUUGCUAUCACUUAUAGAUGGACCCGCGCCGUAUUAGCUAGUUGGUAAGGUAACGGCUUACCAAGGCAACGAUACGUAGCCGACCUGAGAGGGUGAUCGGCCACACUGGAACUGAGACACGGUCCAGACUCCUACGGGAGGCAGCAGUAGGGAAUCUUCCGCAAUGGGCGAAAGCCUGACGGAGCAACGCCGCGUGAGUGAUGAAGGGUUUCGGCUCGUAAAACUCUGUUAUUAGGGAAGAACAAAUGUGUAAGUAACUGUGCACGUCUUGACGGUACCUAAUCAGAAAGCCACGGCUAACUACGUG
rnacentral:rRNA from 1 species